UAGGGAAUAUUGGACAAUGGGGGCAACCCUGAUCCAGCCAUGCCGCGUGAGCGAAGAAGGCCCUCGGGUUGUAAAGCUCUUUUGUCCGGAAAGAAAAGCUUCGGGUUAAUACCCCGGUGUUCUGACGGUACCGGAAGAAUAAGCACCGGCUAACUUCGUGCCAGCAGCCGCGGUAAUACGAAGGGUGCAAGCGUUACUCGGAAUUACUGGGCGUAAAGCGUGCGUAGGUGGUUGUUUAAGUCUGGUGUGAAAGCCCGGGGCUCACCCCCGGAAGGGCACUGGAGACUGGGAGGCUAGGGUACCGGAGAGGAAGGUGGAAUUCCUGGUGUAGCGGUGAAAUGCGUAGAUAUCAGGAGGAACACCGGUGGCGAAGGCGGCCUUCUGGACGGCUACUGACGCUGAGACGCGAAAGCGUGGGGAGCAAACA
rnacentral:rRNA from 1 species